rnacentral:rRNA from 1 species
GAUGAACGCUGGCGGCGUGCCUAAUACAUGCAAGUCGAGCGAACAGACGAGGAGCUUGCUCCUCUGACGUUAGCGGCGGACGGGUGAGUAACACGUGGAUAACCUACCUAUAAGACUGGGAUAACUUCGGGAAACCGGAGCUAAUACCGGAUAAUAUAUUGAACCGCAUGGUUCAAUAGUGAAAGACGGUUUUGCUGUCACUUAUAGAUGGAUCCGCGCCGCAUUAGCUAGUUGGUAAGGUAACGGCUUACCAAGGCAACGAUGCGUAGCCGACCUGAGAGGGUGAUAGGCCACACGGGAACUGAGACACGGUCCAGACGCCUACGGGAGGCAGCAGUAGGGAAUCGUCCGCAAUGGGCGAAAGCUUGACGGAGCAACGCCGCGUGAGUGAUGAAGGUCUUCGGAUCGUAAAACUCUGUUAUUAGGGAAGAACAAAUGUGUAAGUAACUAUGCACGUCUUGACGGUACCUAAUCAGAAAGCCACGGCUAACUACGUG